GUGGGACUACUAUUCAUUAUCCUGAGCUAUGGCUCCAGUGCUAUCAUAAUACAGCAAGACUAGACCAUCAAUAGAAGAUGCCACUCUAUUACUCAUUAAUGAACUUUCAUAAUCAAACUACUUCCUUUACAGCAUCACAUGCCGUAAUGUACUCUGUCUCGCACAUAGAAUCGGCUACAGUGAACUAACUGAAAUUUUUUCAGCAUAUCACUCC
rnacentral:lncRNA from 1 species